ensembl:snoRNA
CAGGUAGAAUUUAAGAAGUAAGGUCAGUCCGGCUGCGUGCAAGAAUAGCACGGAGAGACUUUGAUAGCACAGGUCAACAUAGUACUUGUACUUGCCACUCAACUUUUCUAUAUUU